rnacentral:pre_miRNA from 1 species
UGGACAUAUUAUUGUAUUCGACUGUAUUCACGGCGUGAAAUAAGGGAUUACACUGUUUUUAAAAGGGAAAGUGAAUCAAUUAACAUAAUAAACUUUU